CCCGGUGAUGAUAGGGGCUUGGCCAUACCCGUUCCCAUUCCGAACACGGUCGUCAAGCAAGUCCCGCCGAUGAUAUUGCGCAAGCGAGAAAGUAGGUGAUCGCCGGGG
rnacentral:rRNA from 1 species